rnacentral:sRNA from 1 species
AAAAAAAAGAUAAAAACAAAAU